ACAGUUCGGCCACACCCUGUUCUGACUUCUACUUCCGCUUAUUCCCACCGAUAGUAACCAGGGGAACAGUGUACUGCAGACCAGUUCUGCUGUGUCGUACUAUACCCCUCAGAGCAGCGAGCUGUUCAGAGAGCUUGACACUGCUAUCAAGGUCGAUCUGACUCUCAUCAUCCUGUGGAAGGCCAUCCUGUCUAGUCCGGAGGGUGGGGUACAGUCACUUGUUGGGCAGCACCAUGUGAUGGUAGACAAAAUCAACAACCCAGUAACCUCUUACCCAUUACAGAAGACCACACCAGAACUGCCCCCUGUCAAGCUGAUCCGGGAUGUGGAGCCACCCCCAACCCCCAAACCCAGCUCUGAAGUCACCACCCAGCUUACUCACUACAGCUUUGACCAUACUGCACAGAUACAGC